GGUGCCUUGGCCGAGAGGAUAGGCAGCGGCCUGCAAAGCCGUCUACACGGGUUCGAAUCCCGUAGGCACCUCCA
rnacentral:tRNA from 1 species